AGUAAUUUAACAUGCUCCUUGGCUCUGCAAUCGAAUAACCAAAUAUUUGCCCCAAUUCUCCCAACUCCCCAUGCCAGCCACAGUGCUCUACCGGGCUGUGCGUCAGAGCAGAAGUUCUUUCUUUUGUGGGUGCUUACUUGUUCAUUCCUUUCAACCUACCCCUAAAAGAUACUGCCCGGUUGUUUAUCAGUACACACAGCAUCUUCAGGGAGGAAGCCUGGCACCAUGGGGAGGCGCCCGCAUCUGAAUCUUGGCUCUGCCCUGUGCAUGAUGGGGGUACCUACCUCUUCUGGAGGCUGUGGUAAUUAACAGAGCCAAAGUCCUGUCUGUGGCUGAGGAGUGAACUGUCCCGGACCCUGCUUCCAGCAGCCAGAAACAACAUAGGACUCUACCAAGAGAAGACAGAACAUCUAACUAGAAGGGAGCACAGUGGCUCUGAGUCCAUAACCCUCUCUGUGGAGUGAUUCAGAGCUGCCCUGAGAGGCCAGGGGAAAAGGUCCACCGAGGCUGCCGGGGGAUGGAAGGAUUUAGACCACGCAGCAGUGCGGAAGCAUCAGACGCAGAAAGCCUGUGUGGCAGGACAUUAACAGGACUCUUCUUGUGGUUUGGCUGGGACACGAAGACAGUGGCUUCCUUGUGCCAAAGCGAGACCACUGUCAGAAAUUUUGAAGCAGGUGUUCAAAAUCCAUUCCAGCAACACUUGUUUCGCCGGGCUUGUGGACGUAGAAGAAUUUACUUCUGUUUCAUUUUAAAUGCCUUUUAAGUAAUGACAAACAUUACCAGUGAAGGGGAAAGAGGAAGAGUGAAAGAAUCCAAUACAUUUGGAAACGGCAAGUGAUGCGAUAGUCAUUUCAUCUUUAAAAAGUG